UUGUGGUGUUCGGUGGUCUGGUACCUGUAGGUCUACUGGUUGAUGGGCUGCAAUAUACGGGGGACCACCUCCUAUGACAUGCCAAUCUUUAAACAAAAAAUGUAUUUAUCAAAAUGUAUCCUUAUUGUAUUUAACCUCAAGAAAUAAAUAGGUGGUCAUAGUCCUAUCUAUCCUUAGCAGAAUCCUUAAAUUCUAUAAUUUAGAAUCCUAAAAUAAAUCCCAUUGUAUUUAUCAAAAUGUUUCCAUUCAUGUUUUAGAUCAAGAAAGAAAUAGCUGAUAUUGUCAGUGGUGGUACCGGCGUUGGGGCUGCUGGAACCGCGCCGGGAGGAGGGACGAAAAGCCCCGUCAAGCAAAGCGGGGAUGACGGUGGUUCAAAGAGCAAACAAGAUGAUCAGCAGCCGUCUAAUUCAAGACGUUCCAGCGUGAACCCCCAGCGAGGGGGAAAAGGCCCGACCGGAGCCCGGAGCCGCGGUCCCCCCGGAUCCAAAGUAUCCAAUAAGACACCGCUACGGACUCCACGGAACAAAGGUCCUGCUAUGUUUGUCAAAGACUCCGAUGGAGCAAAUGACAUCCAUAGCACGCCUGGUAUCAAUCGAUAUAGCAUUUACAAUGCAUACUGGUGGUUGAAGACCAUGAAGACUCUCCGUAAGAAGUUACCGGCUCGACAAAGACCCAGCCGUCGGACCUCCGUGGCCCCAACCAGUCGCCGGGCAUCGG